rnacentral:rRNA from 1 species
UACGUAGGGGGCAAGCGUUGUCCGGAUUUAUUGGGCGUAAAGAGCGUGUAGGCGGCCAGGUAGGUCCGUUGUGAAAAUUCGAGGCUCAACCUCGAGACGUCGAUGGAAACCAUCUGGCUAGAGUCCGGAAGAGGAGAGUGGAAUUCCUGGUGUAGCGGUGAAAUGCGUAGAUAUCGGGAGGAACACCAGUGGCGAAGGCGGCUUCCUGGCCUGUUCUUGACGCUGAGGCGCGAAAGCUAGGGGAGCAAACGGGG